UGGCAGACUGGAAAAUCUCUGCAGGCAAAUGUGAUGUCACUGAAGAAUCACACACUUACCUGUAAAGAUUCUGCAGUCUGACA
ensembl:miRNA MIR216B microRNA 216b